CCAACAUAAAAAAAAAUGUUCAUAUAAUUUUAAUAGAACCGUUGAGAGGAACUAUGGACAUUAUAAUUUUAAGCUCCAAUAAUUUUGACAAUUAAUUAACAACUUAAUUAAAAAAUCAAAAUUAUUAAUUCCAAAAUUACUCCACUAAAAAUUUGGAAUUGCACUCUUAAAAUUAUAAAAUUAAAUAUAUUCAAAGGAUUUGAAUUGCCCAUUGAUAUAGUCACUACAUAUGAGUCAAUCCUCCAUAAACGGUUCAUAAUCAAAGCUAGGUUUUUCCGUUAACCUCUUUAAUUAUAUCUUUCUC
rnacentral:lncRNA from 1 species